AGCCAUGUGGCGAGAGGAGUGUCAUUUUAAUUUGCAGAUGUCGUGAGAUGCCAUGACGAGAAGGAGUGACUGAGAGGAUCGUCCACAAGAUGGAAGCUGAGGCCAGGAGAGAGGCUUCGGAAGGAUCGGAGAUCGCCUUCAGCACAGAGAGCUGUGCUACUGGGCUUCCAGGAGAUCGUCAUGAGGAGACUCUGCACUGCAAAAUCUUAAAUAAGAUGAAAGAGUUUCGACGUUGACAUUGAGGAAGACAACUAAGGUGUACGACAUGCUCUGCCUUUAAAAUCUUCAGCAGCGUUGAACCAUGAGAACCUGAGGGAGCGUGCCAAGCUCCAAAAAGUGACAGCGCAGAGGAGGUCCAGCGAUGGACUUGUGGUUCUGUGAACAGCACAAAUGCCAGGUGACUAGUCUGAAGUCUGGAGAUUGGAUGUUGACAAGGCCAUGGAGAGGAAGUGCUGGUCCAGUCCACGGUGGGAAGGUCCAUAUCGGUCCAUAUCGGAUGCUGAUGACGACCACAGCGGUGAAGUUGCUGGAAGAAACACUUGGAUACAUCAAGCGCACUGCAAGAAGGUGACACACAUCCAGGCCAGCUCGGGGUAAAUGGCAGGAAGACCGGGUACAAAGGGGGGGGAAAGCCUCCAGGGCCCCUCGUCUCAAUCCGGUGAAGAAACCAACUGAGCCACAGGUACUCAUCAGAAUGGCUGGGAAUGUGCUGUGCGCCUUCUUGUGCCUGUGGACCCAGAGUGGGAUGACAGGAGCGCACUGGGACAGAGCAAACCACACCCAGUACCCGCAUGGGGUUUUCAACAACUACUGGUGGCAGUUUGUGAACACAACUGCUCACAUCAAGAACGAGACCAAUGGUUAUGCUUGUGAUGCCACUGGCUACACAUUCUUCUGGACUGUGGCCAUAUAGCAUCACUGAGAGUGAGACAGUUGUUUGGUUGCCUUGGCAACACAUCCAGGAGUAAACGUACUUGGAACACUGCCAACUUUUCAACUUCUGAACCUGAAUGGACGGUUGGUUCACCAGUAGCUGGGAAGAUGAACGGCUCUGGUACGACAGACCUGAUAGUCUGACUCCAAGACUUGCUGCAGGACAUUGAACAGCUAAAUGAACUGGAAGCAGGCCAGUUGCCUAUGUGUAUGAAGGGCAAUGGAUUAGUCCAAGUUGGAGAUUUACCAUGAAAUUUGUGCAACGUCGCCU
ensembl:lncRNA